AGCCAGGGUGGUGUAGUGGUUAGUGUGACCGGCUAGGACCUGGGAGACCAGGGUUCAAAUCCCCACUUGGCCA